GGUGGGAUGGUAGGCCAGGAGACUAGCAAGGGAUGGAGCCAGAGCCAUUGACAGGCAGGGCCACCCUGACUGGUGGUAAGUAGAAUGGCCGAGUAGUAGCCUUUGCUGGCUUAUGUAGACUGUUCUACAAGGAAGCUGCUGCUCCCAGUGGUGGUGGUAGGUGGCAUUUCUCAGGGGCAGGGGAAUGGACCAGAUGAUUGUCUGGUCCUAAGAACAAACAGCACUAUCUUUCAUGAUCCUUCUAACUAAGCACCACACACGAAGCAUCUCCUAUUUUCCAUUGAUUUCCAGUUUGUUAAGCAGUGAGAUGGCCAGGUGCCAGGGACCACUAAUGCAGUUCUAUUCAAGUGCCAAAAAGAAGAAGGUGAUGAGACGGUGACCUUUCCAUCCAGAUCAUAGGGAAAAAGCUGCACUAAUAGCACUUGGCAGUCAAACGGCUGCUUAAUCUAGCAUGAGUUUUUGACAGCUCCUUGGCAAAGCCUCUUCUUUCUCUUCUGCCUUAUAGAGGCCAUGUUCUCACAACAGGCAGAUGGACUGGUAAACCUGGAUGUGGACUGGACCACUUCAGGCUGCAGGAGAUGGGAAUUGACAUGAUAGAAUGCUUGGAUUCUAACAAUAACAACAACAUAAUAUCACAAUCAUAAUCCCUGAACAAAGAAAAAUAAAUGUCAAGAAGAAGAGUUCUGGCUUAGCCAGAACGCAAGCUACUUUUUAUGAGAAAAGACCAUUCCAUGCUAUCUUUUUAUGAGAGAAGACCAUACCACAGCAGUAGAACAUCUCUGCCUUGCAUGUGGAAAGUCCCAGGUUCAAACCUUGAUGUUUCCAAGUAGGGCAGAGACUCUUGCCUGGAACCCUAUACAGCUGUUGCUGAUCAGUGCAUGCAAUAGUGAGCCAGACUCUGACUCACUAUAAUGCAGCUUCCUAUGUUCCUAUGUUUAGGAAUCAUUGAGUGGGGGAUUGCUGAAGUGGUGCAAUCAGGUCACCUCAGCUCCUGCUGGUGAGAACAAGGACAGACUCUGAUCUGCUUGAAACUGGGCUAAAUAAGACAGCCUUCCAAGUAUUCAAACCUAGAAAAAUGAAAGCUCUGACUGCUUUGCACAACAUCUAGGUGGGGAUUCCAUGAUUUUUUCUGCAAAAGUCAGGCAAAACAAUUCAAUUCACUCAGACUCACAGAGUGGGGAAGAACCACCCAGCUUCAACAAAAAGUCAUGUUGUCAACCACACAUUUUGUUUGCACAAUACAAAGUUGCUUCGCGGGCAUCAGAUGUGUAACCUGAAGCACACAAGGCCAAACUAGAUGGGAGAUCCGUUAUCAGAUCUAUGACACUUAUUUUUUUUAAAAAAAAUAAAAAAUAGACAUGGGAAUAGGGCCCAAAUUGGACUGGGGCUUUAGCUGCAGUGCUGGCUAAGAAGUUUAGCACCCAUAGCUGCUAUUUAAAUCACAAGGGGAAAUGUUCAGGUACUGUUAAAAGUACCAUAAUCUCUGCACAGUUCUUUGGGAUUGUUCAAAACCACAAUAAUAAAAGUUCAGCUAGAAUGCAUAUCAUUGAUCAGGAAGGCCAACAGAAUGCCAAUGUGGUUAACAAGCAGAGUUGAGGAAGCCAUUACGGUCAAGAAGGAUUCCUUCAGAAAUUGGAGGUCUUGUGGUGUAGUGGUUAAGAGCGGUAGUCUCGUAAUCUGGGGAACCGGGUUCGCGUCUCCGCUCCUCCACAUACAGCUGCUGGGUGACCUUGGGCCAGUCACACUUCUUUGAAGUCUCUCAGCCCCACUCACCUCACAGAGUGUUUGUUGUGCGGGAGGAAGGGAAAGGAGAAUGUUAGCCGCUUUGAGACUCCUUCGGGUAGUGAUAAAGCGGGAUAUCAAAUCCAAACUCUUCUUCUUCUUGUUGUUCAAAUGUGGAGAACAAAGAGAAACAUAGAAUUUCGCAAAAGACAUGGAAGCAGGCAAUAAGGGAUGCAAAAAAAGGAACACAUUUUUGCUAAAAACAUGAAGACUACCAGUGGCAAAGCCUGUUUUCUCCUUCUCUCAUAAUACAGUGGUAUCUCGGGUUAAGUACUUAAUUCGUUCUGGAGGUCCGUACUUAACCUGAAACUGCUCUUAACCUGAAGCACCACUUUAGCUAAUGGGGCUUCCUGCUGCCGCCGGAGCACAAUUUCUGUUCUCAUCCUGAAGCAAAGUUCUUAACCUGAAGCACUAUUUCUGGGUUAGUGGAGUCUGUUAUUAACCUGAAGCGUAUGUAACCUGAAGCAUAUGUAACCCAAGGUACCACUGUACUAGAAGCUGGGAUCAUUCAAUGGUGCUGAAUGCUGGAGAUUCAGAAUACACAAAAGGAAGUAUUUCUUCAUGUAAUACAUGGUGAAAUUAUGGAAUUCACUCAUACAAGAUGUUGUGAUAGCCACUAACUUGGAUGGCUUUAAAUAGGGUUGAGACAAAUUCAAGGAGGAUAAAGCUGUCUAUGGCUACUAGUCAUUAUGAUUAUGUACUCCCUCCUGUAUUAGAGGCAUUAUGUCUCUGAAUAGCAGUUUCUAGACAGCUCAAGUGGGGAGAGUUCUGUUGCUUCCCAUAGGGGUGGCAUCUGCUUGGCAACUGAACUGAACUGAUCAACUGCAGAAAGGUACAUAGUAGUUUCGGGUUGCCAAUCAAUGCAUCGUGAACUAGAUGAGUCAACCUUUCAUCCCUGAAACUUAUAAAACAAGCAUAAAGGAAUAUAGCUCUAGCUAUAGCAGUAGCAGAUGGGUUAAUAGCCAUGUUCUCAUUGCUCAUUGUGGGGUAAGUCUGGAUUUUAGAAGUUUCUUGGAAACUGUUUCAAUAACUUCCCCACCUCUAUGUACAUAAGAGCCAUAGCAGCCUUACUGGAUCCGACCAAAGGACAUUCUAGUCCAGCAUUCUAGUUUAUAACAAAGAUCAGGCAGAUGCCUCUAGGAAGCCUAAAAGCAGGAUGUGAAGGUUCAUCCCUCCUCCACUUUGUCUCUAGCAUCUGAAACUGAAGAGAUAGACUGCUUCUGAACAUGGGUGCUCCUUUUAGCUAUCAUGCACAAUAGCCAUUGAAAGUGUGUUUUCAUCAUAAUAUUCACCCAUGUUGAAAGGGAUGCUGAACUUGUUGGGUCUUUGGUGUGAUUCAGCAUAGCUCUUCAUAUGUUCUUAUGCUAUGUUCUUACCUCCCCUCCUUUCCCUUCUUCAAGUGCUGGUUUACAAAAGCAAGGCUUCAUGCCUUCAUGGAAACAGUGCUGACUUGGGCAUUUUUGUACCACCUACAGUGGUAAUGGCUUGUCAAAAUGAUACACCUCCUGAUCCAUCCCCUCUUUGAACUGCAGCUCAUUUUUAAAACAUUUGUUAAACAGAGAAAUGGAUACUGGAGGCCGGAAAAUAGCAAGCAAAUACACAGUUCAGGCCUUGCAAGAACAAUUUGUCCCGUCCCCCCAACCUACUGGUUGCAAAGAAAGAGGGGGUGGGAAAUACACAUGAAUCUGAUGUUUCCAUUGGUGUGUAUCGUGUAUGUACAGACAACAAGAAGACAGGUCCCUGCCCCAAGGAACACACAGUUGACAAUGCAACACAGAAGAAUCCAUAAAGGAAGGGAAGGGAAGGGAAGUGAGGCAGAAGAAAACAGGUAAGGAAUGUGCCAUUGUUUCAGUUGUGCUUGUUUCGGGCUGAGAUAUAGCAGGGCAGGCAAACUAGACACACUCUCUCUGUUUAAAGCUGGCAUUGCAUGGAGGUCACGUCCUCUGCCCCUUACUGACAAUGUAGAGAAGUGAGUGAAAUGAUUCAGGGAUGUAGGAAGAACAUUCUUUACAUGCUCAAAGUCACUCUUACCUCAAACCAACAUAAGCACACAAUUCUUCCAUUUCAUGCCUGAUGUUGACUAUUUGGGAUUGACUUGAACAUAUAAUUGUCAAUGAGGUUUAAGUUAUACACUAAUGGGUGGCAAUCAGCUAGCAAGAUUCUCUUCUGUGUGUACAACCUCCAACUUUCAGGCACACAUCUCAUUGUAAAACAAGAUCAGACUCCAAUCGUAGGCCAACAAUGCAAUCGGACGCAAGGUUUGCAUAGAGAUCUAAGUCCCACUGCAUUCACUGAAAUUUACUUUCUGGUAAGUGUAUUAAUAAUAGUGGCUCAAUAUUCUAUGCCACAUGUUUAGAUACAGGAUAUCUGAAAGCCAAAUCGGUUUGGGAGCAUGGGCCUGACAAGUCUGUCUCGGCGUAAUUAAAAACUGCAGUAGUUUACACUGUGACUUACCUUUAUUAUUAGACUUCUUCAUUCAAGGAUACCAUCUGAUGAGCAGGAAUAUAGUUUCUUCUAUGCCAGAAUAGCCCUCAAUUCCUGCAUAUGCAAGUUAUAGUACAAAGGGGAGCCUGCAAGCUUACUCUGAAGCAUCCGACAAUUGUAACCACUGUGGGAGGCAGAAUCCUGAGCUAGAUCAGCUAUUGGCAGUUUCUGUGUAAGAGACAAGAACACUGGUGUACAAUAUCCCGGCAGCUUUAUUGCUUUCCCCUUUUUACAUUCUGUAUAACCGAUGGUUGUGCCGUUAGAGAAGGACAAAUGUGAUAAAUAACCAUGGAAAACAGAUCUAGUGAGAUGGAUAUUCUACUGUAAACCAUAUGUCUCUGUCCGGUGCCACUGCAGAGUCAUUACUAAAAAUGGCAGGGUCUUAAACAGCAAGAUUUCCUACGCUCUACAACCAUCCAGCAUAACAAGAGCUGGGGGACCAGCCAAAGUCUGCGUUCAGGAGUGGGGAUGGAAAUGCCGUAUCUUAACUCCUGCACACCAGAUAGUUUGGAGGCGUGCAGUUCUUACUCACAAGAGGAAAAUCCUGAGCUCCCUUCCAACACUUUCUCUGCACCUGGAUGCCAGCAGGGCAGACAUAGCAGUGGAAGGAUCAAGUGAGUGGGGACCAAGCAUCCGGAUGAAUCUGGUGAGCAAUCUGUGAACCUUUAUGCUAUGUGAUUCUCAGAUAAUUCACAAAGCCAUUUAGUUAGUGUUGGCCUUUUGUUCUUGGCUCAUAUUGAAUUAUUUUGAAAGUGGGGUGUGUGAGAAGACAGAGCUUUCCCUCAUGCAGAAGUCGCUACUAAAGCAGGGUUGGCCAACGUGGUGCCCUCCAGCUGUUGCUGAGCUGCAGCUUCCAUCAUCCCUGACCAUUGACCAUAUUGCCAGGGGCUAGUGCAAUAGUUGUAGUCCAGCAACAUCUAGAGGGAAUAGAGUUGGCCACCCCCACUCUAAAAGGAAAAGUUGCCCCAAAUGUCUUAUAAAUGUCUUAUGACCCAUUGAAGGAAGCCUCCAGUUUAGAAUCGAGGCCUGGAGGGUGUGACUGGCAAACAUAUUGAACCGGCCUAUUUAUAGUUAGGUCCGUUCUAGACCUGUUUUUGUGAUCACAUACUAUAUGGCUACUUUAAUGCAUUUUAUGGCUACUAUUUGCACUGUGUGCAAAUCUGAAGCUUUGACAACAGACCCACAUCAUGACUGGACAAUGGCCAGUCCAGACAAUAAGCAGGGAUCCAUUUUGUAGCAUACAGUGGAUGCUUGAAAGUGGCUUUGUCAGACUGCUGGCAACAGGUAGGGGUCAGGCUAUAUUUGACACCUGUGGUAGUGAGAUGAACCUACAUAUCCUCAGUUAACACUCCCUGUCCAGUCUUCCCUAACAUGAUUCCCUCUAGAAAAGAUGUUUCUAGACUACAACUCCCAUAAUCCCUGAUCAUCAGUUUACUGGGGCUGUUGGAACCUGGAGACUGAUGGAAUCUGAAACUUGGCAGGUUAGGGAACGAGGCUGAAAUCACUCAGCCAUUUCCCUUCCAUUUUUCAUUAUGAAAUUGUUAUAAAAAUUCUGCAGUGACACCAGUGGUUAAAUCCUGGCACAGACUGAACUAUGCCUUGUGAAAGUUUCCUCCUUGCCUUAGCAUCCUCUUUGUGCAGACUCUGUACUUUGAUUGACCUCGACUACUCCCCAUCCCUACCACUGCUGGCUCCUGUAGCCACUGAUCUCUUAAGUCAUUGCCCUCACUUACAAAGUAAUUUCAACAAUCGUGUUGACAGAAUCCCUGAAUCCUUUUGUUCCAGUCCUGGUCUUCACCGCUGUGGAGAAUAUCACCAGUUCUUCAAUCCAUGGUGACUUAAAAGAAUUUAGAGGUGAACAUACAACGUCCCAAGCACUCUGCCAUCAUAUCCGUUUCUGUGCCCUGUUGCCAUGUGAACUCUUAAAAUCUUUGCAGGAGGGCAUCACACUUUUUUCCUCACAGAGCUUGCUACCAACUACAUCAGAGGACAGAAGCAAACCUCCUGCAUGAUUACAGGCAAAGCAUCAAAGAACAAGGAGCUUAUUUGUGAAAAAGGUUGAGGCGGAAUCCAGGUAGCUUGAUCAAACCAGAAGACGAAUGGAAGUGAAAAUAAAUACUCCUGUGAGG
rnacentral:lncRNA from 1 species